GUAAUGUAUAGAGUACUUCUCUCUUUUUGCUUAAUUAAUGAGUUUGUUGUGUAAUAUGAGAUCUCUUCUCACCAGGUUUGACCUCUCCUUUGACCCCCAGUACAGCACUGAAUCCUCGGGAUAAAAGGCUGAUGACCUCACCUGUUGUCAUCAUGUCACCAAACAGCGCUCCAAAUAUGGCAGGCAGCAGUGUGUAUGGCUUCUGGAGUUGCCGUGUUCCUGAUGGGACUGACAGCUGUCUGUCUCUGCAGAGGACCGGUGAUUUGUUGAUGGGAGCUGUGAGCAGUACAGGCAUGUUUGAAUUAAGGGAUGCUGGAAUCUAUUCUCUCAUCACCUAUGUACCGUCCAAAUUACUGCCCUCGUGAGAAUUGAAGAGAAUUGAAAGUAAUCUGAAAAAGACAAUUCUGAUACGUACCACAUAUACAGCUCAAUCCCUGACAGACCAGCAACCUCAGCCCAGCAUGAUGGGUUUUACAGUCUGCAGACACACUGACACUACACCUCUGGCUUUCUGUAGCUGAAUCUUACAGAAACACUCUUGCUUUCAGGAUGUCCUUUAUUUAUCAAACAUCAUGUCACUGUAAAUAAGUAUCUACUAUGUCUACUGCUGUACCGUUUCUAAUCAUAAGCGACAAUAGAGGCCACCAUCCAAUGGCAAAAUGUGUAGAACUGCAGGAAAUUAGCUUUAAAACAAGUAGACUUGUUUUAAACGAGUAGACUUGCAGUACUCUCCCCGCCAUGAGGUGGGCCACUAAAAUGUUUUGCCUGCGAGGUGGGCAAAUCUCGCAUAGGGCCCCCAAAAUGCAAGAAACUGCCCUUAUCUACUGUAUCUCAUAUGUACACCUAGUUUCUGUUACAUGCCUAUCCAUAAUGAUGGUUACUCUGUUAGUGUUUUUAUUCAUUGGUUUUGGAGGGGUCCGGGGCAUACUCCCCUUUAAACAUUUUUGUUAUUCCCCCCUCCGGUAAAUGCUAAAUAUAUACUGUAUUUAUAUAUAUUCUGUCAUGUGUUUUAUACUGUUGGAUAGAAUGAAUUAAUACAAAUGUAUUUGAAAUCCAAAUAGAUAGAAAUAUAAUAUUUUAGUUUUAAUAAUGUUUACACUGUUGGCAACAUCAGAUAAUCAAAACUGAAAAUGAUAGAUUUCCUAAAUACUAUUAAAUCUACCCAUUUCCCCAUGUUUACCUGUUAUUUUCCAAAUUCCCAAUUUAACUUCAGCACUUCAGUCUCCCCUCCAAUGUGCAGUGUUGUAGACACGUUCUAGCAUUUUGGUCCAAUGACUGCGGAGCUGUUAAGACGAAAUUGGUGUGAGGCCAUGUCAUGAAAGUAAUUUUUUUUCUCCAGUUAUCAUGGGAGAUUUGCCUCGUUUUACCUUCCUGAUAAGACUCUUGACUUACAGUAAGUACAAAAUCAUAUGCUUUUUUGAAAUGUUCUCUGUAAAAAAAGCAAGCAGAAUAAACU
rnacentral:lncRNA from 1 species